rnacentral:rRNA from 1 species
CUACGGGCCGCAGCAGGCGAGAAAACUUUGCAAUGUGCGAAAGCACGACAAGGUUAAUCCGAGUGGUUUCUGCUAAAGGAACCUUUUGUCGGUCCUAGAAACACCGAUGAAUAAGGGGUGGGCAAGUUCUGGUGUCAGCCGCCGCGGUAAAACCAGCACCUCAAGUGGUCAGGAUGAUUAUUGGGCCUAAAGCAUCCGUAGCCUGCUUUGUUAGUUUUCGGUUAAAUCUGUACGCUCAACGUACAGGCUGCCGGGAAUACUGCAAAGCUAGGGAGUGGGAGAGGUAGACGGUACUCGGUAGGAGGGGGUAAAAUCCUUUGAUCUAUUGAUGACCACCUGUGGCGAAGGCGGUCUACCAGAACACGUCCGACGGUGAGGGAUGAAAGCUGGGGGAGCAAACCGGAUUAGAUACCCCGGUAGUC